rnacentral:rRNA from 1 species
UACGGAGGGUGCAAGCGUUAAUCGGAAUUACUGGGCGUAAAGCGUGCGCAGGCGGUCUGCUAAGAGAGAUGUGAAAUCCCCGGGCUUAACCUGGGAACUGCGUUUCUAACUGGCAGGCUUGAGUGUGGCAGAGGGGGGUGGAAUUCCACGUGUAGCAGUGAAAUGCGUAGAGAUGUGGAGGAACACCGAUGGCGAAGGCAGCCCCCUGGGCUAACACUGACGCUCAUGCACGAAAGCGUGGGGAGCAAACAGG